rnacentral:misc_RNA from 1 species
CUGGGGAAUUCUCGAGUUGCCGCAUCAGGCAAGCAAAGAAAAAACAAGGCAGGGAGGUACUUACCUGAGAAAGGAGCCCCGGGGCAACUCUUCUCAGAAUCCAGCGAGAGGCGUGGAGAGAGGGCCGCGGUGCUCUGGAGUAGAGGCUCUGCCUUCGAAACACCAUCGAUCCUCCCUUCUUCUUUACCUUCUUCUGGCUCUUCCGAUGAGACGCGACCGGUGGCAUCGCCUCUCGGUUCGUCCCAACCUGCUUUUUGUCUAUCUGAGCCUCUGCCGCGGAUCCUCUCUUGAGCCCCU